rnacentral:lncRNA from 1 species
UCGCGCGACAAACCCCCUUCUCCCUCUUCUUUUCUUCUCUCUUCUCUUCUGUCGCCGCUCCGUCACAAGGAAGACGACUGCUACUCCGAGACAAUGCAGAACGCCGAAAAUCGAUGCCAGAGAUUACUUUCGCGCAGGUACGCUCCCUAUGAACUGUUCCUUGAUGUUUUUAAAUUUUCAGUUGGGUUUUUAUUUUUGUUUGGUGUUUUUUUUCUUUUUAUUGAUAAAUACCAUGUGUUUUUUUGAAUAUAUGUGUGUUAGAUCUUUCAUUUCACUAGUUUAAUUUUUUAUUUAGGAUGUGUGAUUAAUGUUUGUUUAGUUUUAAUAAUUUAGAGUGAUUUAGUUUUGUUAAUUAGUUGAUUUUAUUGAUUAUAAUUAGUUAAUAUAUAUUUAUAAAUGAUUCAGUUAGUUAUAUAUUUUUUGUUCAAUUAAUUAUUUUAUCAUUACCUAUAAAUUCAGUUUAGGUGAGAAUUAUAGGAAUUUGUUUAUUACCUUAAUUAGUAGUUGAUUAGUUGGUUAAUUAGUUUAAUUAGUUUAAUAAUUUGUUUAAUAUGUUUUAGUUUUUAAUUACAUUAUUAGUUUAGUUAAUUUAGUUAGUAAUUCAUUUAGUUGAUAAUUUGUUUACUUAAGUAGUUUAGUUUAUUAGUAAUUAAGUAGUUUAGUUAAGUAUUGAACUUUGAUAAUUAACUUAAUUUAGUUAAUUAAGUUAAUUGAGUUUGAUAAUUAGUUUACUCAAUUUAGUUUAGUAAUUCAUUUAAUACAUUAGUUUAGUUAUUGUUCAUUAGAUUAGUUUUGGUUAAUAUUAUUUGAUAAUUGUUAAUCCAUUUUGGUUAAUAUUUAACAAUUAUAUUGUUAAUUAGUUUUUGAUAAUAUUUGUUCCUUGAUUGUAAUGACCGGUGGAUAGGAUGAGUUUUGGUUGAUUGCCUGAUGGAAAGGCUGUGUGAAUACAUUAUUUUUUGUCACAGGUUAAAUUCCUAUUUUUAGGGGAGACUCUACCAAACUUUCAUCAGAAUUUAAACUUUUUCGUUGCCUCACUUUGAUUUUGAAUGAUAUACUUAUGUAUUUGUAUAUUAUAGAAUUGAAUGGGAUAAUUACUACUUAUUGGAUUGUGGAGUAUGAAUGAAUUGAAUUGGAGGCCUAGUAGUGGCUAUGAAUUUAUUGGAGGAUGUUGUUAGAUUAUUGAAUUGUUUUCUUAAACGUUUGACUAUGGGCUUUACACUUUUAUAGGGGAAAUGGUGUCAAAAUUUAUCCUUAGAGUUAGAAUUAAUGAUGCAUAAUGUAUGUAGUUCGGACAGCUUAAAAAACCUUAAUGAUACUUAAGACAAUGAUUAGGAUUGAAUCAAUAGUUUUAGUUAACCUUAGUUGCACGUUUGAUGUCUUUCUCAUCCGUAUAGAAGAGAAGACAUUGAAUUGUCCAAGGUGGACAGUUUAGGAAUAUUUAUCAGUAGAAAAAGCGUGAAAACGAUAAACUUUUAUUGCUUUCACUAAGUAUAAUUUCUGUUGUAUCUCCUUAUGAUGUUCUCGAGAUGCACAGUGGCGUUUAAUGAAGCCAAAUUAAUUGUGCAUUUGGAGAACCAUGGGGAGAUAUUGCUGAAAUUAUAGCAGGUGUAUAGUGUAAAUGAGUUAUUUCAUGUUGACUAUUAAAGUAGAUAUUUCUAAAUGUGCUAGGUUCGUACCAAAUGUAACUUUUGAGUUUGAAAUUAGUAUUUAAUUAGUAUUUACUCAAAUUUAUUUCAUCAUUUAUAUCCUUAACCAACAUGGUGUUUAAAUAUGGCUUAGAAAAUAAGGUUCGAUCGUGAAUGGAUGUAUCAGAGGUACGAGGUGAACGGGAUAUUAAGGAAAGAAUUCUUGGAUGGAUUGGAAUCAUUUGUACAAUUUGCAGUAGCUAAUCCGAGUUGCAUGGAUGGUAGCAAAUUGAGGUGUCCAUAUAAGCAUAAGAAGUACCAAAACAGAGCUUUGAUGUCGACACAGUUAAGCUUCACUUAUGCAAGAAUGGUUUAUGAAUGGAUACAUCAUGGUCAGCCUCGGGUUAGCAGUGGUCCCAGUCGGUCUUUUGGUGUAUCAUCGGCCAAUCAAGUAUCGCAAUUUCAGUCAAACGCAAUUGCAAUAUAAUGCUAUGGUAAUUGAUGUUGUCAAGCCAUAAUUUGAUUAGGUAAACAUGGAGGAAGCGUUGAACUCCGCAGCGUAAAAGCUUUUUGGCAUGCUAAGUGAUUAUUUUUUAGUGACCGAUUAUUCUAAAAUUAGCAACUGUUUCAUUGGUUGCUAAUUGUCGAUUUUUUUUAGUGCAACUAAUGUUGUAGGAAAUGGGAGCUGCUCUUGCGAGAGACACCUUCGAAUAGCCCACCACAUCUCGGGA